rnacentral:rRNA from 1 species
CCUACGGGUGGCAGCAGUGGGGAAUAUUGGACAAUGGGCGAAAGCCUGAUCCAGCCAUGCCGCGUGUGUGAAGAAGGCCUUCGGGUUGUAAAGCACUUUCAGUGGGGAAGAAAGCCUUGGGGCUAAUACCCUCGAGGAAGGACAUCACCCACAGAAGAAGCACCGGCUAACUCCGUGCCAGCAGCCGCGGUAAUACGGAGGGUGCGAGCGUUAAUCGGAAUUACUGGGCGUAAAGCGCGCGUAGGCGGUCUGAUAAGCCGGUUGUGAAAGCCCCGGGCUCAACCUGGGAACGGCAUCCGGAACUGUCAGGCUAGAGUGCAGGAGAGGAAGGUAGAAUUCCUGGUGUAGCGGUGAAAUGCGUAGAGAUCGGGAGGAAUACCAGUGGCGAAGGCGGCCUUCUGGACUGACACUGACGCUGAGGUGCGAAAGCGUGGGUAGCAAACAGGAUUAGAUACCCCGGUAUC